GAUGAACGCUGGCGGCGUGCUUAACACAUGCAAGUCGAACGAAGAGGGUUAGAAUGAGAGCUUCGGCAGGAUUUCUUUCCAUCUUAGUGGCGGACGGGUGAGUAACGUGUGGGCAACCUGCCCUGUACUGGGGAAUAAUCAUUGGAAACGAUGACUAAUACCGCAUGUGGUCCUCGGAAGGCAUCUUCUGAGGAAGAAAGGAUUUAUUCGGUACAGGAUGGGCCCGCAUCUGAUUAGCUAGUUGGUGAGAUAACAGCCCACCAAGGCGACGAUCGGUAGCCGGACUGAGAGGUUGAUCGGCCACAUUGGGACUGAGACACGGCCCAG
rnacentral:rRNA from 1 species